rnacentral:piRNA from 1 species
UCCUAGUCUUUUGCACGGAGGUGAGAGGU